ensembl:lncRNA
AUGUCUGCUCACGUCUCCUCCCCAGCCACAGAGCGGGAGAGGAGCCGUUUUGAGGGAACUCGCCUGGUGGUCUUCCGGGGAACCAGGGGAGGUCGCCGAGGAGGGAGUGGUCGAGAGGAGGCUCAGCAUCGCUCUCAACCAUGGCCCCCCUUCGACCCGGGGCUCGUGUGGGAUGGAUCAGAGCCACUGUCUCACCAUGGCGGACGGAGAGGGGAGAGGAAGCGCACGUCCGCCAUGGUGGCCCCACUGCCCAUGAUGGCCGCAGGGCCAGCGCCACGAGGCAGGAUGGACGCCAGCCCAGCGCCACAGCACAAGGUGGUCACCAGCCCCACGCCACGAGGCCAGACGGCCGCCAGCCCAGCGCCACUGCCCAAGAUGGCCGCUGAGACAUUUUUGGAUUACUUCUCCAUGUUGAACAAGAUCCUAGAGAUUCCCAGGAGUGUUCACAUCACGGCUGCUGAGCCAGCGCCACAGUCCAAGAUGGCCGCCAGCUCAGUGUGCCCAGCACCACAGCACAAAAUGGCCGCUAACCCAGCGCCAAUGCCCAAGAUAGCCGCCAGCCAAGCACCACAGCACAAGAUGGCCGCCAUCCCAGGGCCACUGCACAAGAUGGCCGCCAGCCCAACAACACAGCACAAGAUGGCCGCCAGCCCAGCGCCACAGCACGAGAUGGCCGAAGUCACACCUGUGUCGCCAGAUAAGAUGGCCGACGCAAUGCCUGAGUCUCCGGACAAGGAACCGCCAACUCGCCGUCAUAGAGGGCGGAGGAGGAGACAGGCAUCGACCGUUCCUCAAGGUCCGGAGGCCGAGGCGGUGCCCGAUGCCGUUCCGGAGGCCGAGGCGGUGCCCGAGGCGGUGCCCGAUGCCGAGGCGGUGCCCAAUGCCGAGGCGGUGCCCAAUGCGGAGACCGAGGCGGUGCCCGAGGCUGUUCCGGAGGCCGAGGCGGUGCCCGAUGCCGUUCCGGAGGCCGAGGCGGUGCCCGAUGCCGUUCCGGAGGCCGAUGCCGAGGCCAUUCCCGAGGCGCUGUCCGAUGCGGUGCCCGAGAUGGUUCCCGAAGCCGAGGCACUUCACGUCUCCACAGGCCGUCCAGAGCACCUUCACGUCUCCACAGGGGCCUCGGAAGGGCGGGUUCCGUCCUGGCCGCUCAAAUGGCGGGUUCCUCUCUGGCCGUCUGCACAACCUGAACGGACGGAUCCGCCGUGGCCACCUGAACUGCCUGGUCCCUUGUGGCCCCCUGAACUUUCGGGUCCACCCUGGGCCCCUGAACUGACUGAUCCACCUUGGCUACCGGUGGAGCCAUCGCUUCCUGUCCCUGUCCCCCUACAUGGGCCUGGCCCUCCAUCCCGCCCCCUGUUCUACCUCCACCAGUCCACCUCCCUCCUGGUCUUCUGGUUGUUGUUGUUGUUGUUGUUGUUGGGUUUUUUUUUGUUUCUCCACUUCCUGUCUCUGUAG